ensembl:snoRNA C18A3.24 ncRNA
CAUUCAUGGGUUUCAGUUUAGAACGGUAAUUUCACUUUUCUCAAGUGGUUUUUCUCAAAGGUUUAAACUUUGGCAGAUGUAAGACUCCUUCAAGGUUAUUAUUUUGCAAUAGAUAAAUUU